GCCAGCGUAGCUCAGUCGGUAGAGCAGCUGUUUCGUAAACAGCAGGUCUCCGGUUCGAAUCCGGACGCUGGCU
rfam:Candidate division WOR_3 bacterium SM23_60 WORSMTZ_19940, whole genome shotgun sequence.